rnacentral:rRNA from 1 species
GGGUCAGUAGGUUGGUCGUGCCACCGGUACGUACUGGUCUCACUGAUUCCUCCUUCCUGAAGAACCGUAAUGCCAUUAAUUUGGUGUUGCGGGGAAACAGGAUUGUUACUUUGAAAAAAUUAGAGUGUUUAAAGCAAGCCAACGCUUGAAUACAUUAGCAUGGAAUAAUGAAAUAGGACGAUCGAUCCUAUUUUGUUGGUUUCUAGGAUUGACGUA